rnacentral:ncRNA from 2 species
ACACGGCCCUGGGGGAGUUCGAUAGAACUGAGAUCCGUAUGCUGCCGAAGAUGUCUUCGCACAGCGGGAACCCUUUGCACCUGAACCGGGUAAUUCCGGCGUAGGAAAGCGGCUUGCAGGAUGU